GAGUUUGAUCGUGGCUCAGAUUGAACGCUGGCGGCAUGCCUUACACGUGCAAGUCGAACGGCAGCAUGAUCUAGCUUGCUAGAUUGAUGGCGAGUGGCGAACGGGUGAGUAAUACAUCGGAACGUGCCCUGUAGUGGGGGAUAACUAGUCGAAAGAUUAGCUAAUACCGCAUACGACCUGAGGGUGAAAGUGGGGGACCGCAAGGCCUCAUGCUAUAGGAGCGGCCGAUGUCUGAUUAGCUAGUUGGUGGGGUAAAGGCCCACCAAGGCGACGAUCAGUAGCUGGUCUGAGAGGACGAUCAGCCACACUGGGACUGAGACACGGCCCAGACUCCUACGGGAGGCAGCAGUGGGGAAUUUUGGACAAUGGGCGAAAGCCUGAUCCAGCAAUGCCGCGUGUGUGAAGAAGGCCUCGGUUGUAAG
rnacentral:rRNA from 1 species